rnacentral:rRNA from 1 species
CCUACGGGAGGCUGCAGUGGGGAAUAUUGGACAAUGGGCGAAAGCCUGAUCCAGCCAUGCCGCGUGUGUGAAGAAGGCCUUCGGGUUGUAAAGCACUUUCAGUGGGGAAGAAAGCCUUGGGGCUAAUACCCUCGAGGAAGGACAUCACCCACAGAAGAAGCACCGGCUAACUCCGUGCCAGCAGCCGCGGUAAUACGGAGGGUGCGAGCGUUAAUCGGAAUUACUGGGCGUAAAGCGCGCGUAGGCGGUCUGAUAAGCCGGUUGUGAAAGCCCCGGGCUCAACCUGGGAACGGCAUCCGGAACUGUCAGGCUAGAGUGCAGGAGAGGAAGGUAGAAUUCCCGGUGGAGCGGUGAAAUGCGUAGAGAUCGGGAGGAAUACCAGUGGCGAAGGCGGCCUUCUGGACUGACACUUACGCUGAGGUGCGAAAGCGUGGGUAGCAAACAGGAAUAGAUACCCUGGUAGUC